rnacentral:rRNA from 1 species
GGGUAGUUUGACUGGGGCGGUCUCCUCCUAAAGAGUAACGGAGGAGCACGAAGGUUGGCUAAUCCUGGUCGGACAUCAGGAGGUUAGUGCAAUGGCAUAAGCCAGCUUGACUGCGAGCGUGACGGCGCGAGCAGGUGCGAAAGCAGGUCAUAGUGAUCCGGUGGUUCUGAAUGGAAGGGCCAUCGCUCAACGGAUAAAAGGUACUCCGGGGAUAACAGGCUGAUACCGCCCAAGAGUUCAUAUCGACGGCGGUGUUUGGCACCUCGAUGUCGGCUCAUCACAUCCUGGGGCUGAAGUAGGUCCCAAGGGUAUGGCUGUUCGCCAUUUAAAGUGGUACGCGAGCUGGGUUUAGAACGUCGUGAGACAGUUCGGUCCCUAUCUGCCGUGGGCGCUGGAGAACUGAGGGGGGCUGCUCCUAGUACGAGAGGACCGGAGUGGACGCAUCACUGGUGUUCGGGUUGUCAUGCCAAUGGCACUGCCCGGUAGCUAAAUGCGGAAGAGAUAAGUGCUGAAAGCAUCUAAGCACGAAACUUGCCCCGAGAUGAGUUCUCCCUGACUCCUUGAGAGUCCUGAAGGAACGUUGAAGACGACGACGUUGAUAGGCCGGGUGUGUAAGCGCAGCGAUGCGUUGAGCUAA